GCCAGGGUGUUGCAGUGGUUUGAGUGUUGGACUACAACUCUGGAGACCAGGGUUCAAUUCUCCACUUGGUCA